rnacentral:lncRNA from 1 species
GUAGGGUUCCCGAAGGGGCGGACAACUCUGGCCGCUGUGCAGCCCUCCGUUGACCUGUUGUCCAGGGGCAAGGCGACACGCUGUGAGAACAUCCCGUCCGUGGACCACCGGACGGCCAGGACUCCAAUGUGGAGGGUCGGAUCCCUGGAGGUCACUGCUCGGCCCUUCUCUGGAGACCGCCGACCAGCAUGCCAUCCCAGCUGCAUUGUGGGGGUGAAGGGUGGGGUGACCACCACCGACGAUUGAGGCCACCCCUCCGUCUCUCAUCUCGCCGAGCCAUCACCAGGCGGUCAGGACUCCUGGGCAGUGUCGCCUCCGGGGCCAUGCUGGCGUCUGUAACCUCCAUCCACCGCCGGGGUCCCAUCCAGCCAUCCCUGCCCCGCCCGCCUGGCCCGCCCGCUCUGAUCGUCACGUCUCCAUCGGCCUUUCCCUUGUGCGUAGUCGUCACUCACAGGGGUUCCAACGCCCGCGGGGGCGGCCCAGCGGGACCGUUGACUCUCCUUCCCGGCUCGAGGAGUCCAGAGGACACUCGGCUUCAGGUUAUCCCCUCGUUGAGGAGAAGACACCGUGUCCUGGAAGAAAUAAGCCACCCAACACAGACUAGAGACUUUGCACGUGGAAGACGAGAGCUCUGGAAAGUUCUAGAAACGCAGCCAGCGUUCGUCACCUCGGAACUCUGAAACGCUGCCUCGGGCGCUUUGCCAGUUGCACCUCGGGGUGACAGUCGCCUUGCGGGUCCGGCAGCCGCCCAGGACUUUGUGCUGUGUUUUUUCCCGCCGCCUUGUUUAAAAAUCGAGCGGGAUGGGGAUGGCAUCUCCCGUGGGCCCCGCGGUGUGGGGCGUGGACGUCUCGACGAAUGUCCUCGGCAGCGGUGCAGUCCAGCAACGUCCACCCUCCCGCCCCCCCCCCCCUCCGCCCCGGUCCUGUCCACCCACACCCUGGGGAGCCUUUUUCUACAUUGUCCUAAACCCUGCCAUCAUUCCGUUGCGCAGGUGUGACGUGUGGCGCCCCGGUGUUGUCGCGUCAUAGCUUCUGCCUCCCCACCCACCACCCCACCCCACCCCACCCCACCCCACCCCGUGGAGGCAGGCAAUCGAGACCAAGCUGAGACAUUAAUGGCUAUUCCAGAAAAUAAAAUAUUUUUGAAACCGCCCGGCA